GACGUAGGGUGCAAGCGUUGUCCGGAUUUACUGGGCGUAAAGAGCGCGUAGGCGGUCUGUUAAGUGUAGAGUGAAAGCUCCGGGCUCAACCCGGAAAUUGCUCUGCAUACUGGCAGACUUGAGGGAUGCAGAGGUUUGUGGAAUUCCUGGUGUAACGGUGAAAUGUGUUGAUAUCAGGAGGAACACCCGAUGGCGAAGGCAGCAAACUGGGCAUCAUCUGACGCUGAGGCGCGAAAGCGUGGGUAGCAAACAGG
rnacentral:rRNA from 1 species